ensembl:lncRNA
ACUAGAAGCUGCUGUCGCUCACGGUGAAAGAAUUUCGUCAAUACGACUUUUACUUUUCAUUUGGGAACGAUUUGUUUCGGCCUGACUUUUCUGUUCAUUUUAAGCAGCAAAAGUGAGGUGCAUGUCUGUGUGCGUGUGUAUGGAGCCAUUGGGUGCGGUCACUAUAGCAACCAGGCUCACACCUGCCUGCUUAACGAGCUCUGCCUGCCACUGUACCAAGAUUCAUCUUAAACACUUCUCUUUCAACUGCUGCUGUGUCCACAGUGUUACAGCCAUCAUUUUACCCUCAAAACGUCGCCAUCGUUGUUCUCUUUCCAACAUCUUGUCUUUCAAAGCUCAGGCAUUUAAACUUUUUAAACUGUGUGGAUCAAAGUGGAGGGAUCACAUUUUAGUCAUUCAGUGAUUCAAAGAAUAUGACCUUUUAAUAUUCAUUCAGAUGUUUUCUGACUCUAAAUGUUCUUUUCUCAUUUCUUAGGGUUUUCUAAUUUACAAUUAAAACAUUUUCAGCUUUUUUCCAACUUCUUCUUCUGUGUAACCUUCAGCUUUUAGCAGUUCAGCACCUUUGUUUUCAG